UUUUAAACAGAGCACUGGAACGGGUCUGUUGAUUUUCAGAAAAUAAAGGGUAUUUAAAAUAUUUUUGCACAAUGAAUAUCUUCCAGUUGCCCUUUUAAUACUAUGAAGUUGCUUUUAUCCUGAAAAACAGUUGACUCUCGUGUUCUGUGGUUAGAUUAAAUCACUUAAGUAAUUAAAGUUAUACUACAGAAAACAAGUACAGUAUGAAUUGAGGUUGACAAAAUUAGACAAAACAAGAGAAUAAUUAGCAUCUAUAAUGCACUAGAGAACCAUGAAUCAAUUAAGGCAAGACAUGAAAUAUAUACAGACUGUAUUUUCCCCAUCUCCAACUUUAUUUACUUGAGUCACAGCCCCAAUGCCUUGUGAAUAGUUCACACUGACUAGUGAAACAGAGUUCUCUAAUAUUUACUGGCUAUAUAUCAGUCCUGUAGGGUAUUAACUGUCAGCUACCAAUAUAGUGAUUAUGUGUCACAUUUGCAAAAAUAUGUCUCAGGGUGUUCCAUACCUAAUCAUCUCAUUAUUACCUCUUUUCCCUCAUUUUUAUUUUUAUUUUAUUUUAUUAUUUAAUUUUCUCAUUAUCUCAUCACUUUCAAAUGAAUCUUACUGAGCAAACUGCUAUUUUAACUGGAACACUGAAGCUUUCCAAGUCAGAGCUUUUCUCAGUUCUUCAGUACUAAUUAUGUUCUCCUACAAUGUUAACAGUUCAAAAACUAAAAACUAAAUGAACCUGGUAGUAAAUGCCCACUCUGUGUUGUCAGAUUAUCAAGAAACUAAGCAUCAAAGGAAAUACUAGACAGUAUAGUCAAUUACACUGGGCUUUCUUUAAUUUAACAGAAAAAUACUGAAGGAUGUCAAAGCAAAACAUUAGACAUAUUUUUCACAAUACAUUAUUCAUACAGGCAAUAAUUUUACCCUUCAAAGCAGUAUUGGAUCAUGCCCAACUUUUAUUUACCCUUGGCCAAAUUAUAACUUUUACUAUCAUCCCUUGCAUGGCUGCAUCCGUUGAAAUGACAUAUUUAUAUUAUUACUAUUAUAGGAAAAGCCCACUUGUGGCAGGUGAAGUAAACUAGGCAUUAAUACAUUCACUUACAAGGGAGGGAUAUAUUUGAAUCAUCACCAAAGAGGGUUCUCAGUAAGAUAUUUCAGCAAUCCUUUAUGGUAUGGUAUAAGAAAUAAAAUAAAUUGUAAAUGUAGCUUAACUGUUCUUUAUUUUUUC